GCCCGAAUGCUUUUUUCCCCUUCUUAUUCAUCUUGCCACCUUUAGGAUUCAACUUUUUUUUUGAACCCUUCAUGCCUGAUUUCUUCUUAAAGUUUUUUGCCAUAAGAAGAACUAAAGUCUUGUCCUUUUUAAUAUGGCUCUCAGCUGUUUUGAGCACAUUUAAUAGCUCAGAGAAAGAGGUAUUCAGUUUGUUCAUGUGAUAGUUCAUAACAAAC
rnacentral:lncRNA from 1 species